UGUGGGAUCACUUGCUUAGAUCUGACUAAACUUGAUCAAAUGCUGAAUCUGACAAGAUCAACCUCAUUAUUUUAGAGCUUGAUCAAAUGCUGAAUCCAACAAGAUCUGGCCAAGUUGACCUCAUUUCAAAAAGGCUGAUUAGAGAUCUAAGAAGUCAAGGCUCUUCGCUCUUUGAUUCUUGCAGCUUGAUAGUGCUGGGGCUCAAAGAAGACGGUUAACAAUUAUGAAGAGGGGUGGCCAAGC
rnacentral:lncRNA from 1 species